rnacentral:lncRNA from 1 species
UGAAGGUUCCAUACCUAGGGCUACGGAAUGAAACAAGUCCCAAGGUUGAAGGAAAAGGGCAAGGCAAAGGAUGAUUACGCCACUCAACAGGAAAUGGCAGCCUCAUUACGAUUAAUGGCGGAGUAGAAUGCUUUUGUCGCGGAAGAAAGGAACCGUAGGCAUGAAGAACUGGCCAAACAAAUACAAGAAGAGAUGGAUGAUAAGAAUAUGGAAAAGA